UACGGAGGGUGCAAGCGUUAUCCGGAUUCACUGGGUUUAAAGGGUGCGUAGGAGGGCAGGUAAGUCAGUGGUGAAAUCUCCAAGCUUAACUUGGGAACUGCCGUUGAUACUAUCUGUCUUGAAUAUUGUGGAGGUGAGCGGAAUAUGUCAUGUAGCGGUGAAAUGCUUAGAUAUGACAUAGAACACCAAUUGCGAAGGCAGCUCACUACACAAUCAUUGACUCUGAGGCACGAAAGCGUGGGGAUCAAACAGG
rnacentral:rRNA from 1 species